GAUGAACGCUGGCGGCGUGCCUAAUACAUGCAAGUCGAGCGAACAGACGAGGAGCUUGCUCCUCUGACGUUAGCGGCGGACGGGUGAGUAACACGUGGAUAACCUACCUAUAAGACUGGGAUAACUUCGGGAAACCGGAGCUAAUACCGGAUAAUAUAUUGAACCGCAUGGUUCAAUAGUGAAAGACGGUUUUGCUUUCACUUAUAGAUGGAUCCGCGCCGCAUUAGCUAGUUGGUAAGGUAACGGCUUACCAAGGCGACGAUGCGUAGCCGACCUGAGAGGGUGAUCGGCCACACUGGAACUGAGACACGGUCCAGACUCCUACGGGAGGCAGCAGUAGGGAAUCUUCCGCAAUGGGCGAAAGCUUGACGGAGCAACGCCGCGUGAGUGAUGAAGGUCUUCGGAUCGUAAAACUCUGUUAUUAGGGAAGAACAAAUGUGUAAGUAACUAUGCACGUCUUGACGGUACCUAAUCAGAAAGCCACGGCUAACUACGU
rnacentral:rRNA from 1 species